GCCCUCUCUACACCCAGAUCUUCUAGGUGCCCCACGACUGCUUCUCUGCUGUCAGCCUGCAGCCCUCCAACCCCCACUGACAGCUCUUCACUGAGCCCCAGGGAUUUGCAAGGGAAGGGGAGAAAGAUCAGACCAGUCCGCUCAUACCAGUGAAACGGACAUCACCAGGCCCCUGACCACCUCCUCUGCCCCUCUGUCUGGAACAAGUCGGGCUGAAGAGCCCCAUUCUGAGGCUGAGAGGAGAAGCCAUAAGGAGGGAAUGAGGGCCAGACAGGGCAUCAGCUUAGGAACCCAGGGAGGUGAAACCACAGGAGCAACUUUGUAAAGAAUAAGAGUCGACCAGCUCAUCUAAAAGCUCAGCUUUCUGCAGAACAAAAGACUCAUUCAGGCGACCAAAGGAAAGAAGGAAAGAAGAAAGGAGACUAACAGACAAGAGUUGAAAGCAGACAUUGUCAAGGACAUGACAAGUUUAAGAAAGUGAUACUGAAAAAACUCGAUAGAACCCAGACCCAUAGAUCCUGACAUCCUAGUCCCCUGCCCUGCACCCCACAAGCCCCCAGCUUUGUCUGUUUCUGAGACCGGGUGCCCCCACCCAUCCCUACCUUCAACUUCCUUCAACCCCCCCGCCCCCGCAACUCUA